UACGAAGGGGGCUAGCGUUGUUCGGAAUUACUGGGCGUAAAGCGUGCGUAGACGGUUAUUUAAGUCGGAUGUGAAAGCCCCGGGCUCAACCUGGGAAUUGCAUUCGAGACUGAAUAGCUAGGGUGCGGUAGAGGGAAGCGGAAUUUCCGGUGUAGCGGUGAAAUGCGUAGAUAUCGGGAGGAAUACCGAUGGCGAAGGCAGGUCUCUGGGCUGACACUGACGCUCAUGCACGAAAGCGUGGGGAGCAAACAGG
rnacentral:rRNA from 1 species